GGCCCUAUCGUCUAGUGGUUAGGACAGGAGCUUCUCAAGCUCUAAACUCGGGUUCGAUUCCCGAUAGGGUCA
rnacentral:tRNA from 1 species